rnacentral:lncRNA from 1 species
GAAAAAGGACCGAAUGCAAGUUUCGUUGUGGGGUUGUGGGCGGCGGCGUGAUUCCAGGAUAUUAUAUACCUAUUCAUGGUAUCUGCAGGCCGCUCCGCUGGCUGCGCGCCGACCAUCGUCCCCGGCCCGAUCACCAUGCGGUGCCGCUGACCGGGCGGCAUGUGGCACUCGGAUUUCGCCCGCGAGCCGUCCUGCGACAGUCUAGCCACGCUCAAGCUAUGCGAGAGGGAGGAGGACGCGCUGCUGGCGGGCACGAC